GUGGGGAAUUUUGGACAAUGGGGGCAACCCUGAUCCAGCCAUGCCGCGUGCGGGAAGAAGGCCUUCGGGUUGUAAACCGCUUUCGGACGGAAAGAAAUCGCCUUGGCUAAUACCCGGGGUGGAUGACGGUACCGUAAGAAGAAGCACCGGCUAACUACGUGCCAGCAGCCGCGGUAAUACGUAGGGUGCGAGCGUUAAUCGGAAUUACUGGGCGUAAAGCGUGCGCAGGCGGUUUCUUAAGCCAGAUGUGAAAUCCCCGGGCUUAACCUGGGAACUGCAUUUGGAACUGGGAGACUAGAGUGCGUCAGAGGGGGGUGGAAUUCCACGUGUAGCAGUGAAAUGCGUAGAGAUGUGGAGGAACACCGAUGGCGAAGGCAGCCCCCUGGGAUGACACUGACGCUCAUGCACGAAAGCGUGGGGAGCAAACAGGAUUAGAAACCCUUGUAGUCC
rnacentral:rRNA from 1 species